rnacentral:rRNA from 2 species
UUGCUGUCCGGGUAGCGUAUCUGCAGUCGUACGAACUCUGGUAUUGAUUGGUGCUUGCAUCAUGAUUUACAUUUGAGUGAGUGGCGAACUGGUGAGUAACACGUGGGAAACCUGCCCAGAAGCGGGGGAUAACACCUGGAAACAGAUGCUAAUACCGCAUAACAACUUGGACCGCAUGGUCCGAGCUUGAAAGAUGGCUUCGGCUAUCACUUUUGGAUGGUCCCGCGGCGUAUUAGCUAGAUGGUGGGGUAACGGCUCACCAUGGCAAUGAUACGUAGCCGACCUGAGAGGGUAAUCGGCCACAUUGGGACUGAGACACGGCCCAAACUCCUACGGGAGGCAGCAGUAGGGAAUCUUCCACAAUGGACGAAAGUCUGAUGGAGCAACGCCGCGUGAGUGAAGAAGGGUUUCGGCUCGUAAAACUCUGUUGUUAAAGAAGAACAUAUCUGAGAGUAACUGUUCAGGUAUUGACGGUAUUUAACCAGAAAGCCACGGCUAACUACGUGCCAGCAGCCGCGGUAAUACGUAGGUGGCAAGCGUUGUCCGGAUUUAUUGGGCGUAAAGCGAGCGCAGGCGGUUUUUUAAGUCUGAUGUGAAAGCCUUCGGCUCAACCGAAGAAGUGCAUCGGAAACUGGGAAACUUGAGUGCAGAAGAGGACAGUGGAACUCCAUGUGUAGCGGUGAAAUGCGUAGAUAUAUGGAAGAACACCAGUGGCGAAGGCGGCUGUCUGGUCUGUAACUGACGCUGAGGCUCGAAAGUAUGGGUAGCAAACAGGAUUAGAUACCCUGCUAGUCCAUACCGUAAACGAUGAAUGCUAGGUGUCGUAGGGUUUCCGCCCUUCAGUGCUGCAGCUAACGUAUUAAGCAUGCCGCCUGGGGAGUACGGCCGCAAGGCUGAAACUCAAAGGAAUUGAUGGGGCCCGCACAGCGGUGAAGCAUUGUGGUUUAUUCGAUGCUACGCCAAGAGCUUACCAGGUCUGAAGUACUAUGCAAUACUAACAGAUUAGACGUCCCUUUCGGGACAUGAAUACUGGGUGGUCAGAUUGACGUCAGCUCAGGUCCAGACAUGGUGCUAGUCCCGACCACGCCAACUUAUAUCAUGUGCAGAUCAAUGCACCUCGUGAGAGGCAUUAUAACGAGCAGUGGUAAUUCAAUCUAUGGCCCUAGACUGUCAGCGGCUACGGAUCGUCACCUAGUGCCACGUGCUGUCGAGAAACAGAUCCUCGUAG